rnacentral:tRNA from 1 species
GGCAGUGUGGUCAAGUGGUAUGAGGUGCUGGAUUAAGGUUGUAGCCUCUUAAAGGAUGUGGGUUUAAAUCACACCACUACCA